AGGGUUAGGGGUCAGAGCUAGGGUUAGAGAGGUCAGGGUUAGGGUUAGGGUUAGGGUUAGAUUUGAUCCCCGAGGGUUAGGGUUAGGGUUAGGGAUAGGGUUAGGGUUAGAUUUGAUCCCCGAGGGUUAGGGUUAGGGUUAGGGAUAGGGUUAGGGUUAGAUUUGAUCCCCGAGGGUUAGGGUUAGGGUUAGGGAUAGGGUUAGGGUUAGAUUUAAUCCCCGAGGGUUAGGGUUAGGGUUAGGAUUCUGGUUAGGCGUUAGUUUAGGGCUAGGGGUUAGUGGUUAGGGGUCAGGGGUUAGUGAUUAGGGGUUGGUGGUUAGUGAUUAGGGGUCAGGGUUAGGCAUUGGAGCCCCUAAUCACACGUAGAUGUAUUUAGCUGUUGUUCCCGUCCAGUGCAUGUGGUCCACCCCUGACAGAAACCCGUCUCCUUUCAGAGAGUCGACGUGUGGCCAAGCUCCAGUCUCCACAUUCUUGUCUGUGUUAAUGUGUCUUUUUGUUUUGUAUGUUAUAGGUUUUGGGGGAGAGGGAGACUUUCCCUCCAAAGAGUCCAGAAACUCCCUGUCCAGCUUAGACAUGAAGUUCUGUUGUGGAGACAGAACAGGAGUUGUCUCCAGCUCCGUGUCUUGGUUUUCCCCUAUGUGUGAGUACUGUUUUGUAUUGUUUGUAGGUGUUUGUUUCUCCUCUUGUUUGUUAUGUUGUGGUUCUGUGUGUGGUGUGUGGAGUGGAGUCUGAGGUGUUUUGGUUUGUUGUGGUGUUUUUUGUUGUUGUUGUUGUGGUGGUGUUUUGUUUUGUUGUUGUUGUUGUGCUUGUGCUGACUGUGUGUUUUGUUGUGGUGUCUGCUUUAUGUUUACAGGUUUGUCCACAAUUUGUGGACCAUCAUUUUGUGGUUUUUCCUGUGCAGCAGCAGGCUCAGAAGGGGCUGCCUGUCUGUCCUGUGCUGCAUCAGGCUUCACACAAGAGGCUAUCAGAGCCUCCGCGUGGUCAAUAACCUCCUGCUUUAUACGAGGCAGGUUCUUUUAGCCCAUCUCGUGGCCACAGUGAAGGCGCUCUUCCACUCUUGAGGUGGCUCUUUUGAAAGAUCUGCCUUUAUUUUCUCCAGCUCAGCGGUGUAGUGGUCCUGGAGAAUGAGCAGUGUAGUGUGGCCCCAGUUUUUUGCAUUUGCAAUGAUCAAAUCCAGCGUGUAGGUUGUUGGAUUUGCUGGUUUGAUCAUGGUUGCCAAAUUAUCCACCAUACGUGCUAUCAUUUUUGGAUCCUGUUUUUCAGGUCCUGGGGUCACAUUUUGUAGGUGGUGUACCAUUUUAAUGACAGUGUGUAAUUUUUUGACCAGUUGUCCGAAUUGGGGGUCAUGUACUGGUGCUUGAUGAGUACUUGGAUCAGGCAGGGAUCUGCUCUGCUGUGUGUUUUUUUGGUGGUAAUAAGGGCGUCUUUGAGGAAAUCCCCCCUGGUUACGGGUGGGGUUUCCCUGGUGUAGCACAGAUGCAUAGGACCCUGAUUGAGGUCCCCAAAAUUUGGGUUGAUAAUCAGGAGGAGGUCCAGGUCUGCGGGGACGUGAGGGAGCAGAGAACCGUGGGGGAGGCACAGGCCGGUUAGGUUUAUGGAUAAAGGGGGACUGUCUCCUAGAAUAGGAGACAGUAGGUGCACGGUCCAUCCCCCUGUUCCCCGUCCCCCACGACCCCGUUUGAUACUGCUGAUUAUUAGUGCGAUACGGGCGUUGACCACGCCUUCUCCCGUAUCGCACUUCAGUCCAUUGUUCUUGGUCGUAGGUCAUGAUUGUUGUUUUAACCUUUUUAAUUAUUUAUUGUUAUUUAUUAAUGUGGUGUAUUUAUGAGACUAUUUAUUUAUUUAUUGGUCUAUCUAUCGAUGUUUUUAAACAAAAACUGUAUCAAAUGAACUGUUCUUUAUUUUUUUUUUUUUUUUUUUUUUUUUUUUUGUGCGUUUUUUUGUUUUUUGUGAAAUAAAAAUGAAAUAAAAUGAAAUAAAAGUGAGAAAACUGAAUAAAAUGUGUAUCAAAAUGAAUAAUAAGUGCCCAGUCGCGACGUUUCGACCGCUGUGGGUCUUCUUCAGGCUAUGGGCACGAAAUAAAAUAUGUCUGGGCUUGUCUGGGCUUGUCUGGGCUUGUUUGAGUCUGCUGGUGAGAUGCUUUCUCUUCAAGAGACAUAUGAGAAGUGGGAGGCUGAACUCUGUGUGCGUGAGUUUUUUAUAGGGGCGUGGGAAAGAGCAGAGCCAGACGGGGGGCCUCCGGCCGUCUGGGUGCAGUUAACCCCAUAAAUGCCAACUGAAAUUAGAUGACAUGAAUGUUAAUGGCCAAUUGGAUUUUUUUACCCUCUUUUAACAGAUUAACUUUAAUGAAUUAUAAUUGUAAUGCCCAAUUAGAAUUUUUUAUGCUUUUUUAACUUAUUUAAUUAAUGAAUUGUAAUUGUAAUGCCCAAUUUUAACGUUUGCCAAUUAGAAUCGUAAUGAAUUUGAAUUUUUAAAGAGAGAUGUAAUUAUGUUAUCCCC
rnacentral:lncRNA from 1 species